AUUGAACGCUGGCGGCAGGCCUAACACAUGCAAGUCGAGCGGAUGAAGGGAGCUUGCUCCUGGAUUCAGCGGCGGACGGGUGAGUAAUGCCUAGGAAUCUGCCUGGUAGUGGGGGAUAACGUCCGGAAACGGGCGCUAAUACCGCAUACGUCCUGAGGGAGAAAGUGGGGGAUCUUCGGACCUCACGCUAUCAGAUGAGCCUAGGUCGGAUUAGCUAGUUGGUGGGGUAAAGGCCUACCAAGGCGACGAUCCGUAACUGGACUGAGAGGAUGAUCAGUCACACGGGAACUGAGACACGGUCCAGACGCCUACGGGAGGCAGCAGUGGGGAAUAUUGGACAAUGGGCGAAAGCCUGAUCCAGCCAUGCCGCGUGUGUGAAGAAGGUCUUCGGAUUGUAAAGCACUUUAAGUUGGGAGGAAGGGCAGUAAGUUAAUACCUUGCUGUUUUGACGUUACCAACAGAAUAAGCACCGGCUAACUUCGUG
rnacentral:rRNA from 1 species